rnacentral:rRNA from 1 species
AGAGUUUGAUCCUGGCUCAGGACGAACGCUGGCGGCGCGCCUAACACAUGCAAGUCGAACGAGCGAGAGAGAGCUUGCUUUCUCAAGCGAGUGGCGAACGGGUGAGUAACGCGUGAGGAACCUGCCUCAAAGAGGGGGACAACAGUUGGAAACGACUGCUAAUACCGCAUAAGCCCACAGCUCGACAUCGAGCAGAGGGAAAAGGAGCAAUCCGCUUUGAGAUGGCCUCGCGUCCGAUUAGCUAGUUGGUGAGGUAACGGCCCACCAAGGCGACGAUCGGUAGCCGGACUGAGAGGUUGAACGGCCACAUUGGGACUGAGACACGGCCCAGACUCCUACGGGAGGCAGCAGUGGGGAAUAUUGCACAAUGGGGGAAACCCUGAUGCAGCGACGCCGCGUGGAGGAAGAAGGUCUUCGGAUUGUAAACUCCUGUUGUUGAGGAAGAUAAUGACGGUACUCAACAAGGAAGUGACGGCUAACUACGUGCCAGCAGCCGCGGUAAAACGUAGGUCACAAGCGUUGUCCGGAAUUACUGGGUGUAAAGGGAGCGCAGGCGGGAAGACAAGUUGGAAGUGAAAUCUAUGGGCUCAACCUAUAAACUGCUUUCAAAACUGUUUUUCUUGAGUAGUGCAGAGGUAGGCGGAAUUCCCGGUGUAGCGGUGGAAUGCGUAGAUAUCGGGAGGAACACCAGUGGCGAAGGCGGCCUACUGGGCACCAACUGACGCUGAGGCUCGAAAGUGUGGGUAGCAAACAGGAUUAGAUACCCUGGUAGUCCACACCGUAAACGAUGAUUACUAGGUGUUGGAGGAUUGACCCCUUCAGUGCCGCAGUUAACACAAUAAGUAAUCCACCUGGGGAGUACGACCGCAAGGUUGAAACUCAAAGGAAUUGACGGGGGCCCGCACAAGCAGUGGAGUAUGUGGUUUAAUUCGACGCAACGCGAAGAACCUUACCAAGUCUUGACAUCCCUUGACGAACAUAGAAAUAUGUUUUCUCUUCGGAGCAAGGAGACAGGUGGUGCAUGGUUGUCGUCAGCUCGUGUCGUGAGAUGUUGGGUUAAGCCCCGCAACGAGCGCAACCCUUACUGUCAGUUACUACGCAAGAGGACUCUGGCAGGACUGCCGUUGACAAAACGGAGGAAGGUGGGGAUGACGUCAAAUCAUCAUGCCCUUUAUGACUUGGGCUACACACGUACUACAAUGGCGUUAAACAAAGAGAAGCAAGACCGCGAGGUGGAGCAAAACUCAGAAACAACGUCCCAGUUCGGACUGCAGGCUGCAACUCGCCUGCACGAAGUCGGAAUUGCUAGUAAUCGUGGAUCAGCAUGCCACGGUGAAUACGUUCCNCGGGCCCUUGUACACACCGCCCGU